GACGAACCGUGCGAACGUUGUUCGGAAUCACUGGGCUUAAAGGGCGCGUAGGCGGCUCGCCAAGUCAGGGGUGAAAUCCUCCAGCUCAACUGGAGAAGUGCCUUUGAUACUGGCGAGCUCGAGUGAGGUAGGGGCGGGUGGAACUUCCUGUGUAGCGGUGAAAUGCGUAGAUAUAGGAAGGAACACCAGUGGCGAAGGCGACCACCUGGACUGAUACUGACGCUGAGGAGCGAAAGCGUGGGGAGCGAACAGG
rnacentral:rRNA from 1 species